AACGAACGCUGGCGGCAUGCCUAACACAUGCGAGUCGAACGAGACCUCCGUGACUAGUUGCGUACGGGUGCGUAACGCGGGGGACCCUGCCCUUAUGCUCGGAAUAACUCCCCGUAAGGGGUGCUAAUACCGGGUAAUGUAUUCGAACAAAAGAUACAUCGCGUUUGUGUGAGCCGGCGUUGGUUUAGCUUGUUGGUAGUGUAAAAGCCUACCAAGGCUACGAUCCAUAGCUGGUCUGGGAGGCUGCUCAGCCACACUGAGACUGAGACACGGCCCAGACUACUGCGGGAGGCAGCAGUGGGGAAUAUUGGACAAUGGGCGAAAGCCUGAUCCAGCAAUGCUGCGUGAGUGAUGAAGGCCUUAGGGAUGUAAAGCUCUUUUACCCGGGAUGAUAAUGACAGUACCGAGAGAAUAAGCUCCGGCUAACUCCGUG
rnacentral:rRNA from 1 species